rnacentral:rRNA from 1 species
GACGAACGCUGGCGGCGUGCUUAACACAUGCAAGUCGAGCGACGAAGUUCCUUCGGGAAUGGAUUAGCGGCGGACGGGUGAGUAACACGUGGGUAACCUGCCUCAUAGAGGGGAAUAGCCUUUCGAAAGGAAAAUUAAUACCGCAUAAGAUUGUAGUUUCGCAUGAAGCAGCAAUUAAAGGAGUAAUCCGCUAUGAGAUGGACCCGCGUCGCAUUAGCUAGUUGGUGAGGUAACGGCUCACCAAGGCGACGAUGCGUAGCCGACCUGAGAGGGUGAUCGGCCACAUUGGGACUGAGACACGGCCCAGACUCCUACGGGAGGCAGCAGUGGGGAAUAUUGCACAAUGGGGGAAACCCUGAUGCAGCAACGCCGCGUGAGUGAUGACGGUCUUCGGAUUGUAAAACUCUGUCAUCAGGGACGAUAAUGACGGUACCUGAGGAGGAAGCCACGGCUAACUACGUGCCAGCCGCCGCCGUAAAAC